UGAAAUUUAACAGAUGAGCAACGGCACUACAUCAGAUUGCAUGAAAUUAUGGCCAAAGACAUUACAGCACCGAAAAAUGUCCAAUAACGCCACAUACAUGAAAAGUGACAAUGAAGUUUGAAAUAUCAACAAAAUUAGUCAUCCAUAUGAAAAAAACAUCCAAUUCUCCCAAUUGAUCUAGGUUCAUAAUACCAAAAGUAGAAAGAAAAUGUCAAACACCAAUGAAAAGAUACUAACACGCCAAGCUACUGAACAAGAAACAGAGCAAACAAGUAGACAUUAUGGAAAAGUGCCACAAAACAAUGCAAACAACAGAAUGGACAACCCAAUGAAGCCAUUGACACCAAAUGAAGAUGUCACAAGGGGAAAUGGAAUUCUCAUCAAACUUAUCUGCCCCGUUUCCCUUUUUUGUUUUAUGCAUCAGAUUUUGGGUUUUGGGUGAGUGAACCUCACUUGGCCAUCAUGACUUUGACAAAUUCCUCGUAGUUGAUCUGACCAUCACCAUCCACGUCAGCCUCACGGAUCAUCUCAUCAACCUCCUCAUCUGUCAGCUUCUCCCCGAGAUUUGUCAUGACAUGACGCAACUCAGCAGCAGAAAUGAAGCCAUUCUGGUCCUUAUCAAAAACUCUGAAAGCUUCCUUGAGCUCCUCCUCAGAAUCAGUAUCCUUCAUCUUGCGGGCCAUG
rnacentral:lncRNA from 1 species